GGGCUUGUAGCUCAGUGGACUAGAGCACGUGGCUACGGACCACGGUGUCGGGGGUUCGAAUCCCUCCUAGCCCGUCA
rnacentral:tRNA from 1 species